rnacentral:tRNA from 1 species
CGGGACGUAGCGCAGUCUGGUAGCGCACUUGACUGGGGGUCAAGAGGUCGCAGGUUCAAAUCCUGUCGUCCCGA